UGGAAGCGGUGCUCCUGGAAAAGAAAACUUUU
rnacentral:piRNA from 1 species